rnacentral:rRNA from 1 species
CUUGCUCCGGCUGACGAGUGGCGGACGGGUGAGUAACGCGUAGGAAUCUACCCAGUAGCGGGGGAUAGCCCGGGGAAACCCGGAUUAAUACCGCAUACGCCCCACGGGGGAAAGAGGGCCUCUUCAUGAAUGCUCUCACUAUUGGAGGAGCCUGCGUUGGAUUAGCUUGUUGGUGGGGUAAAAGCCUACCAAGGCGACGAUCCAUAGCUGGUCUGAGAGGACGAUCAGCCACACUGGGACUGAGACACGGCCCAGACUCCUACGGGAGGCAGCAGUAGGGAAUAUUGCGCAAUGGGGGAAACCCUGACGCAGCCAUGCCGCGUGUGUGAAGAAGGCCUUAGGGUUGUAAAGCACUUUCAGCAGGGAAGAAAAGCGCCGAGCUAAUACCUCUGUGUCUUGACGUUACCUGCAUAAGAAGCACCGGCUAACUCCGUGCCAGCAGCCGCGGUAAUACGGAGGGUGCAAACGUUAAUCGGAAUUACUGGGCGUAAAGCGCGCGUAGGUGGUCUUUUAAGUGGGAUGUGAAAGCCCAGGGCUCAACCUUGGAAUUGCAUUCCAAACUAAAAGACUGGAGUACGAUAGAGGGAGGUAGAAUUCAGAGUGUAGCGGUGAAAUGCGUAGAUAUUCUGAGGAAUACCAGUGGCGAAGGCGGCCUCCUGGAUCGAUACUGACACUGAGGCGCGAAAGCGUGGGGAGCAAACA